UCCAAUUGUGGCGCAGUGGUUUGAGUGCUGGAGUAUAACUCUGGGAACCAGGGUUCGAUUCCCAGUUUGGCC